rnacentral:rRNA from 1 species
AUUGAACGCUGGCGGAAUGCUUUACACAUGCAAGUCGAACGGCAGCACGGGGGCAGCCCUGGUGGCGAGUGGCGAACGGGUGAGUAAUACAUCGGAACGUGCCCGGUCGUGGGGGAUAACGUAGCGAAAGUUACGCUAAUACCGCAUACGAUCUGAGGAUGAAAGCGGGGGACCUUCGGGCCUCGCGCGAUCGGAGCGGCCGAUGUCAGAUUAGGUAGUUGGUGGGGUAAAGGCCUACCAAGCCGACGAUCUGUAGCUGGUCUGAGAGGACGACCAGCCACACUGGGACUGAGACACGGCCCAGACUCCUACGGGAGGCAGCAGUGGGGAAUUUUGGACAAUGGGCGCAAGCCUGAUCCAGCCAUUCCGCGUGCAGGACGAAGGCUUUCGGGUUGUAAGCUGCUUUUGUACGGAACGAAAAGGCUCGGGCUAAUACCUGGGGCUCAUGACGGUACCGUAAGAAUAAGCACCGGCUAACUACGUG